UACGUAGGGUGCGAGCGUUAAUCGGAAUUACUGGGCGUAAAGCGUGCGCAGGUGGUGAGCUGUGUCCGAUGUGAAAGCCCCGGGCUUAACCUGGGAAUGGCAUUGGAAACUGGCUCGCUGGAGUGUGGCAGAGGGGGGUGGAAUUCCGCGUGUAGCAGUGAAAUGCGUAGAGAUGCGGAGGAACACCGAUGGCGAAGGCAGCCCCCUGGGCUAACACUGACGCUCAGGCACGAAAGCGUGGGGAGCAAACAGG
rnacentral:rRNA from 1 species